GUAGGUCAAGUUUGGACCGAACUGGGUGACCAAUCUCUUUGUGUUUAUUGUUUUCUUCUUCCCUCUCCUUGUAUCUUGUGAUUGUUGCUUUGUGUUUCACACUUGUUUCCUAGAUUAGAUCUAGGUGGUGUUUUGUUGUUUCUUGCUUGCACAAUAAACUUUGUUAGGUGGUUACCACUCUCCGUCGCUCCACACAUCAUUAUUCUUUGUAUUUCAAAUUCUAUCAAUUUUAUAGGUCUCCAAAUUUAGGGCGACAAUGGAUUCAAGGAGAUAUUCCCUGGGAUAUGUUGAGAAUGCCACCUCCAAAGACAUUUUUAGUGGAUUAUUAUGAGUAUACUGAUUUGGAUGAAUUGAAACCAGGAGAUCUUAUUGAAAUUCAAAAUAGAAGAAGGAUAGGAUUCCCUAUUUGUGGUAACUAAUAAUCAUUUCACUUUAUCAUAUACUCUCAUCCAAUAUUCAAUAAUACUUAUAUAUAUAUAUAUAUAUAUAUAUAUAUAUAUAUAUAUAUAUAUAUAUAUGGGAUUUGUUAGAACACAUCCACUACUUUUUUUUUUUGUGGGAGUGUUCUAGCAAGCUACACCUUAAGGUGUUUUUAACUACUUUUUAGUUAUAGCUUGCUAAAACAUACCUUCUGAAAAAUAAGUGGGUGUAUCCUAGAAAAUGCCUAUAGGAGUUGCUAACAUACACCCACUUAUAUUUUAGAAUGUGUGUUUUAGAAGCAUUCAUCUUAAGGUGUAAUUAACAACUUUUUAGUUAUAUCUUUGCUAAAACACACCUUAAUAAAAACUAGUGGGUGUAUUCUAGCAAACCCCAUAUAUAUUUAUAUAUAUAUAAAACUUUACGGUGCGUAUAAGUGAGGUGUUUGGGGUUUGAACUCCGGCCUCUGCAUAUAACAAUGUAUGUCCCUGACAACUGAGUUAUGCUCACGGGGACGAGUGGUAACUAAAUUUAAUAGCUAAUUUAUUUAUUUUCUAAUGAUCAACAUAUAACAAUAUUAAACUUCCUUUCUUUCUUCUUCAAAUCUUCUCACAUCCUUUUACAGUAUUAAACUUUUUGUUCUGCCAAAAUAACAAUAUAAUGCAUGCUUAAGUAGUGGUCACAUAUAAACUAUAACAUAAUCACAUGUAGCAGCAUAGAAAAACUUGCAAUGAUAUCAACAAUCAUAGAGCAACAUAAAAUAGCAAAACCAAAUAUUGUUGAACCAAAAGAUAAAAAAUAUGCUCAGAAAUGAGCAACAAACCAGAACAAUCCAACAAGUUCUUUUUAAUUCCUUAUGUAUAUGUUAUUUCUAUAGCUAAUUGCCCAAUUCUUGAGUCUCCUUCCUACAAGAAGCAUACCUU
rnacentral:lncRNA from 1 species